UGGGGAAUAUUGCACAAUGGGCGCAAGCCUGAUGCAGCCAUGCCGCGUGUGUGAAGAAGGCCUUCGGGUUGUAAAGCACUUUCAGCGGGGAGGAAGGCGAUAAGGUUAAUAACCUUGUCGAUUGACGUUACCCGCAGAAGAAGCACCGGCUAACUCCGUGCCAGCAGCCGCGGUAAUACGGAGGGUGCAAGCGUUAAUCGGAAUUACUGGGCGUAAAGCGCACGCAGGCGGUCUGUCAAGUCGGAUGUGAAAUCCCCGGGCUUAACCUGGGAACUGCAUUCGAAACUGGCAGGCUAGAGUCUUGUAGAGGGGGGUAGAAUUCCAGGUGUAGCGGUGAAAUGCGUAGAGAUCUGGAGGAAUACCGGUGGCGAAGGCGGCCCCCUAGACAAAGACUGACGCUCAGGUGCGAAAGCGUGGGGAGCAAACAGG
rnacentral:rRNA from 1 species